rnacentral:rRNA from 1 species
CGGCGGACGGGUGAGUAAUGCCUAGGAAUCUGCCUGGUAGUGGGGACAACGUUUCGAAAGGAACGCUAAUACCGCAUACGUCCUACGGGAGAAAGCAGGGGACCUUCGGGCCUUGCGCUAUCAGAUGAGCCUAGGUCGGAUUAGCUAGUUGGUGAGGUAAUGGCUCACCAAGGCGACGAUCCGUAACUGGUCUGAGAGGAUGAUCAGUCACACUGGAACUGAGACACGGUCCAGACUCCUACGGGAGGCAGCAGAC